rfam:Candidatus Roizmanbacteria bacterium RIFCSPHIGHO2_02_FTLL_40_9 rifcsphigho2_02_scaffold_48644, whole genome shotgun sequence.
CCAGGGGUGCCGGAGUGGACAAUCGGAACAGUCUGUAAAACUGUCGGCUUAACGCCUACGGAGGUUCGAAUCCUCCCCCCUGGA